rnacentral:sRNA from 1 species
GCCGGGCGUGGUGUCGGGCACCUGUAAUCCCAACUACUCAGGAGGCUGAGGCAGAGAAUUGCUUGAACCCAGGAGGCGGAGACUGCAGUGAGCCAAGAGCAUGCCACUGCACUUCAGCCUGGGUGACAGAGCAAGACUCUGCCUCAA